rnacentral:lncRNA from 1 species
GAGGUGAAGGGAUGAUUGCUGAAGUUUCUGAGGACCCAGGAUAUGUACUUCCUGGAAAUGAAUUUAUGGAACCAGUACAAGUAAUGCUAGAGAGGAAUAAGGACCCAGUACCCAGGGGACUUGAAAACCUUAAUAUAUUCUCUGUCCUCAUAACACAGGAGAUACCAUACAUUCUCUGUAUUUUCAUACAUGCAAAAUUACUUUAUAAGAUAUAUUAGAGACUCCAGAAUCAUAGGAAUGUAUAAAACAAAUAUUUCAAUGAAAAGAACCUGAUCUUUCCAUAUAUGAGAAUAUAGGGCCAAACACUGAAGACUCUUGAGCAGGAAUGGGAAGGUGAUGAUUACCCCUGAUGACACAAUAACCCCAAUACAUCAUAAUAUGCUGACUGGGGGUGGUGGUGUUAUAAGAGGCCCUAGAAUUGUAGGGAUAGAGACAGCCCAGGGGCUCUGGCCAUCCAUCACAGUCUCCCUCUUUACCAGGCUCCCUGGAGUAAGCAGAAGCCUGCUAAUGAAUGUCUUAGAGGGGACAGACGUCAGAAAUUUAUCCAAAGGCUACCCUGAGACUCACUUUUCAGAAAAUACAUCAGGAAACAAAAGGGACAGAUGGCGGAAUCCACUCCCAAGGGAAAGAAAUUAUCUGUGCAGGUCAUUCCAGAACCAUGCCAUUACAUUUGGAGUUACGGUGGCAGAAGCCCAAAGGCGGCCCACAGAGGCACUUUCAGAUACACAUGCCUGACUGAGGCAGAAGAGUCAUGGCAACCCAAGGCAACACAGGCUGGCAAUAUUCAUUCCUAUGGAAUGCGAUGGUGGAAGAGUCAGACAUCUCUCCUCCUCGACUAGUCUGUGAUGUUCUACCAGCCAGAGGGAGAUUGCUUCUCCCCCAACAUGCAAAGAUCAUGGAUAUCUCUCACUCAACUUGUCUCUCUCUGCUUCCACAAAGACUGAAGAAGAACAAGAAUUAAGAAGCAGGAGCCCAAUUCAAUGUAGCAUUGGGGCUCAGCGUAUAGGGAACAGCUUUCCCUGGAGGGCUAUAAACACUUCAUCACCACCAAAAUUGAUUCCAGCAAGCAAUUCUGUUCAUAGAUAUCUAAGGCAAUGCACACACAAAAAGGAGUGGGCACAGUGUACCCCCCUCAACCUGGUCUGAUCUCUUCUCAUUGAUAACCAUUGAUGCCCAAGGGAUGGGAUGGAAGUAGGCCAAUAGAUAUCUAAGGCAAUGCACACACAAAAAGGAGUGGGCACAGUGUACCCCCCCUCAACCAGGUCUGAUCUCUUCUCAUUGAUAACCAGUGAUGCCCAAGGGAUAGGAUGGAAAAUGGGCCAGAGACUCAAGACUAGGAAGAAGACACACUGCACACACUCCUGUACCCAUAAAUACAAUCAUUUCCUAAAGAAUUUUUUCGUCCAUAUUCAUUCAUAAUCAUGCAGAGGAGGCAAUAGAAGGAGUUCCA